rnacentral:tRNA from 1 species
GGGGGUAUAGCUCAGCUGGGAGAGCAGCAGACUGAAGCUGUGUGCAGUUCUUCUGAAGGUCCCGCGUUCGAUCCGCGGUACCCCCC